UAACCAGGAUUUCCCUAGUAACGGCGAGCGAACCGGAAAGAGCCCAGCUUGAAAAUCGCGGUGCCUUGGCACCUCGAGUUGUAGUCUGGAGAAGGUCCCUCUGCGUCGCGCCGGACCCAAGUUCCCUGGAAAGGGACGUCAUCGAGGGUGACAACCCCGUCCGCGCCCGGAAGGCGUCGCUCCACGAGGACCUGUCUGCGAGUCGGGCUGUUUGGGAAUGCAGCCCUAAUCCGGUGGUAAAUUCCAUCGAAGGCUAAAUAUGGGCAAGAGACCGAUAGCGAACAAGUACCGCGAGGGAAAGAUGAAAAGGACUUUGAAAAGAGAGUUAAAAAGUGCUUGAAAUUGCUGGGAGGGAAGCGAAUGGAAGCUGCGGGUGCGCCCCGGUUGGAUGUGGAACGGCUCCGGCUGGUCCGCCGCUCAACGCGGGGCGCUGGUCAGCGUGGGCCGUCGCGCCGGGACAAGAGCGGGGAUUUGUUUCCCGCCUAUGCCGGUGCGGCGGCCGAGGAACGAAGCGCGCGCCCCUCCGGGCGUGGGCCCUUCGCGGCCCAACUGCGCGCUCGGGACGCUGGCGUAUUGAGCUCUUCAUCCGACCCGUCUUGAAACACGGACCAAGGAGUCUAACAUGUGUGCGAGCCGGUGGGCGGCAAACCCAUUGAGGCGCAAGUAAACUGACAGGUGGGACCCCGACCGUCUCGGGAGGGAGCACCAUCGACCGACCGUGAUCUUCUGUGAAAGGUUUGAGUGUGAGCAUACCUGUUGGGACCCGAAAGAUGGUGAACUAUGCCUGAGCAGGGCGAAGCCAGAGGAAACUCUGGUGGAGGCUCGUAGCGAUACUGACGUGCAAAUCGUUCGUCAGACUUGGGUAUAGGGGCGAAAGACUAAUCGAACCAUCUAGUAGCUGGUUCCCUCCGAAGUUUCCCUCAGGAUAGCUGGAGCUCGUGCAAGAGUUUUAUCAGGUAAAGCGAAUGAUUAGAGGCAUCGGGGGUGUAACACCCUCGACCUAUUCUCAAACUUUAAAUAGGUAAGCCGCCGGGGUUGCUUGGUUGAACCCCGGCACAGAAU
rnacentral:rRNA from 1 species